GGCCUACGGGGGGCUGCAGUGGGGAAUAUUGCGCAAUGGGCGAAAGCCUGACGCAGCGACGCCGCGUGAGGGAUGAAGGUCCUCGGAUCGUAAACCUCUGUCAGGAGGGAAGAACCGCCACGGUGCUAAUCAGCUGUGGUCUGACGGUACCUCCAAAGGAAGCACCGGCUAACUCCGUGCCAGCAGCCGCGGUAAUACGGAGGGUGCGAGCGUUAAUCGGAAUCACUGGGCGUAAAGCGCACGUAGGCUGCUUGGUAAGUCAGGGGUGAAAGCCCGCGGCUCAACCGCGGAAUUGCCUUUGAUACUGCCGAGCUAGAGUCCGGGAGAGGGUAGUGGAAUUCCAGGUGUAGGAGUGAAAUCCGUAGAGAUCUGGAGGAACAUCAGUGGCGAAGGCGACUACCUGGACCGGUACUGACGCUGAGGUGCGAAAGCGUGGGGAGCAAACAGGAUUAGAUACCCGUGUAGUC
rnacentral:rRNA from 1 species